UGCGUAGGCGGAAUGAUAAGUUAGUGGUGAAAGCCCCCGGCUCAACCGGGGAACUGCCAUUAAUACUGUCAUUCUUGAGUAUAGUUGAAGUGGGCGGAAUGUAUCAUGUAGCGGUGAAAUGCUUAGAUAUGAUACAGAACACCGAUAGCGUAGGCAGCUUGCUAAACUAUAACUGACGCUCAGGCACGAAAGCGUGGGGAGCAAACAGGAUUAGAUACCCGCGUAGUCC
rnacentral:rRNA from 1 species